GACGAACGCUGGCGGCGUGCCUAAUACAUGCAAGUAGAACGCUGAAGGAGGAGCUUGCUUCUCCGGAUGAGUUGCGAACGGGUGAGUAACGCGUAGGUAACCUGCCUGGUAGCGGGGGAUAACUAUUGGAAACGAUAGCUAAUACCGCAUAAGAGUAGAUGUCGCAUGACAUUUGCUUAAAAGGUGCAACUGCACCACUACCAGCUGGACCUGCGUUGUAUUAGCUAGUUGGUGAGGUAACGGCUCACCAAGGCAACGAUACAUAGCCGACCUGAGAGGGUGAUCGGCCACACUGGGAAGGAGAAAAGGCCCAGACCUCUACGGGGAGCAGCCGGAGGGGAACUUCGGCAAAGGGCGGAAGGCCGACCGAGCAACGCCGCGGGGGAGAAGAAGGGUUUCGGAUCGUAAAGCUCUGUUGUAAGAGAAGAAAGAGGGUGUGAGUGGAAAGUUCACACUGUGACGGUAUCUUACCAGAAAGGGACGGCUAACUACGUG
rnacentral:rRNA from 1 species